rnacentral:tRNA from 1 species
GGCGGCGUACCCAAGUGGACUAAGGGAGCGGAUUGCAAAUCCGUCACCGUGGGUUCGAAUCCCACCGCCGCCU